GACGAACGCUGGCGGCGUGCUUAACACAUGCAAGUCGAACGGUAAGGCCCUUCGGGGUACACGAGUGGCGAACGGGUGAGUAACACGUGGGUGAUCUGCCCUGCACUUCGGGAUAAGCCUGGGAAACUGGGUCUAAUACCGGAUAGGACCACUGCGUGCAUGGGUGGUGGUGGAAAGCUUUUGCGGUGUGGGAUGGGCCCGCGGCCUAUCAGCUUGUUGGUGGGGUGAUGGCCUACCAAGGCGACGACGGGUAGCCGGCCUGAGAGGGUGACCGGCCACACUGGGACUGAGAGACGGCCCAGACUCCUACGGGAGGCAGCAGUGGGGAAUAUUGCACAAUGGGCGCAAGCCAGAUGCAGCGACGCCGCGUGAGGGAUGACGGCCUUCGGGUUGUAAACCUCUUUCAGCACCGACGAAGCGCAAGUGACGGUAGGUGCAGAAGAAGGACCGGCCAACUACGUGCCAGCAGCCGCAGUAA
rnacentral:rRNA from 1 species